rnacentral:rRNA from 1 species
GUACGACGGAGCACGUGAAAUUCCGUCGGAAUCUGGGAGGACCAUCUCCUAAGGCUAAAUACUCUCUAGUGACCGAUAGUGAACCAGUACCGUGAGGGAAAGGUGAAAAGCACCCCGGAAGGGGAGUGAAAUAGAACCUGAAACCGUGUGCUUACAAGUAGUCAGAGCCCGUUAAUGGGUGAUGGCGUGCCUUUUGUAGAAUGAACCGGCGAGUUACGAUUUGAUGCAAGGUUAAGCAGUAAAUGUGGAGCCGUAGCGAAAGCGAGUCUGAAUAGGGCGUUUAGUAUUUGGUCGUAGACCCGAAACCAGGUGAUCUACCCUUGGUCAGGUUGAAGUUCAGGUAACACUGAAUGGAGGACCGAACCGACUUACGUUGAAAAGUGAGCGGAUGAACUGAGGGUAGCGGAGAAAUUCCAAUCGAACCUGGAGAUAGCUGGUUCUCUCCGAAAUAGCUUUAGGGCUAGCCUCAAGUGAUGAUUAUUGGAGGUAGAGCACUGUUUGGACGAGGGGCCCCUCUCGGGUUACCGAAUUCAGACAAACUCCGAAUGCCAAUUAAUUUAACUUGGGAGUCAGAACAUGGGUGAUAAGGUCCGUGUUCGAAAGGGAAACAGCCCAGACCACCAGCUAAGGUCCCAAAAUAUAUGUUAAGUGGAAAAGGAUGUGGCGUUGCCCAGACAACUAGGAUGUUGGCUUAGAAGCAGCCAUCAUUUAAAGAGUGCGUAAUAGCUCACUAGUCGAGUGACACUGCGCCGAAAAUGUACCGGGGCUAAACAUAUUACCGAAGCUGUGGAUUGUCCUUUGGACAAUGGUAGGAGAGCGUUCUAAGGGCGUUGAAGCAUGAUCGUAAGGACAUGUGGAGCGCUUAGAAGUGAGAAUGCCGGUGUGAGUAGCGAAAGACGGGUGAGAAUCCCGUCCACCGAUUGACUAAGGUUUCCAGAGGAAGGCUCGUCCGCUCUGGGUUAGUCGGGUCCUAAGCUGAGGCCGACAGGCGUAGGCGAUGGAUAACAGGUUGAUAUUCCUGUACCACCUAUAAUCGUUUUAAUCGAUGGGGGGACGCAGUAGGAUAGGCGAAGCGUGCGAUUGGAUUGCACGUCUAAGCAGUAAGGCUGAGUAUUAGGCAAAUCCGGUACUCGUUAAGGCUGAGCUGUGAUGGGGAGAAGACAUUGUGUCUUCGAGUCGUUGAUUUCACACUGCCGAGAAAAGCCUCUAGAUAGAAAAUAGGUGCCCGUACCGCAAACCGACACAGGUAGUCAAGAUGAGAAUUCUAAGGUGAGCGAGCGAACUCUCGUUAAGGAACUCGGCAAAAUGACCCCGUAACUUCGGGAGAAGGGGUGCUCUUUAGGGUUAACGCCCAGAAGAGCCGCAGUGAAUAGGCCCAAGCGACUGUUUAUCAAAAACACAGGUCUCUGCUAAACCGUAAGGUGAUGUAUAGGGGCUGACGCCUGCCCGGUGCUGGAAGGUUA